rnacentral:rRNA from 1 species
AUACGUAGGUCCCGAACGUUGCGCGAAAUUACUGGGCGUAAAGGGUCCGUAGGCGGUCUGGUAAGUGGAAGGUGAAAGCCUGGGGCUCAACUCCAGAAUUGCCUUCCAAACUGCCGGACUUGAGGCAGGGAGAGGUCGGCGGAAUUCCCGGUGUAGUGGUGAAAUGCGUAGAUAUCGGGAGGAACACCAGUGGCGAAGGCGGCCGACUGGAACUGUCCUGACGCUGAGGGACGAAAGCCAGGGGAGCGAACCGGAUUAGAGACCCUAGUAGUCC